AUGGACGCAAGUCUGAUGGAGCAACGCCGCGUGAGUGAAGAAGGGUUUCGGCUCGUAAAGCUCUGUUGGUAGUGAAGAAAGAUAGAGGUAGUAACUGGCCUUUAUUUGACGGUAAUUACUUAGAAAGUCACGGCUAACUACGUGCCAGCAGCCGCGGUAAUACGUAGGUGGCAAGCGUUGUCCGGAUUUAUUGGGCGUAAAGCGAGUGCAGGCGGUUCAAUAAGUCUGAUGUGAAAGCCUUUGGCUCAACCGGAGAAUUGCAUCAGAAACUGUUGAACUUGAGUGCAGAAGAGGAGAGUGGAACUCCAUGUGUAGCGGUGGAAUGCGUAGAUAUAUGGAAGAACACCAGUGGCGAAGGCGGCUCUCUGGUCUGCAACUGACGCUGAGGCUCGAAAGCAUGGGUAGCGAACAGGAUUAGAUACCCUGGUAGUCCAUGCCGUAAACGAUGAGUGCUAAGUGUUGGGAGGUUUCCGCCUCUCAGUGCUGCAGCUAACGCAUUGAAGCACUCCGCCUGGGGAGUACGACCGCAAGGUUGAAACUCAAAGGAAUUGACGGGGGCCCGCACAAGCGGUGGAGCAUGUGGUUUAAUUCGAAGCAACGCGAAGAACCUUACCAGGUCUUGACAUCCAGUGCAAACCUAAGAGAUUAGGUGUUCCCUUCGGGGACGCUGAGACAGGUGGUGCAUGGCUGUCGUCAGCUCGUGUCGUGAGAUGU
rnacentral:rRNA from 1 species